rnacentral:miRNA from 1 species
GACUAGUGACAUAGUGAGAGAGGGGGUGACUAGUGACAGAGUGAGGGACGGGGUGACUAGUGACAGAGAGAGGGAUGGGGUGACUAGUGACAGUCACCCCCUCUCUCACUCUGUCACUAGUCACACCCUCGCUCACUCUGUCAUUAGUCAC